UGUUGAUGGAAGCUUUGUGUAUAACAAAGGAAAGGUGCACAAGGUGCCAGCUACUGACAUGGAGGCUCUUAAAUCUCCUCUGAUGGGCAUUUUUGAGAAGCGACGUGCUCGAAAGUUUUUUAUUUAUGUUCAAGAUUAUAAAGAAAGUGAUCCUAAAACGCAUGAAGGGAUGGAUCUAACAAAAGUUACCACAAGAGAGCUUAUUGCAAAAUAUG
rnacentral:misc_RNA from 1 species